ACGGGCACUAUCUUUAAAAGCAGCCUUGGUUCCCCAAGUCUCGGACCAAACUUGUAAUCUUCGACUGGUUUUCUAAAAUUUAUCCUGAUGGAUAAUACCCCCCAUCUCUUGGAAGUGUUCUUCCUAACCGGCGGCUUCCGCCACGUGUUCGACCUCCAGUUUCCUCCCUGGGCUGGAGUUGGAGCACCGGAGUCUACCCAAGUUUUGGCCGCGGAGGGGGAGGGGGAGCGGCAUUUCAACUUUAACGAUAGAAACAGAAUGGAAAAACCAUGGAUCCAGGGAAUGUUCCCUCAGGGAAGUGAAGCAAGUUAUCAUUGUACUAGAAUAUUAAUAAACUGUUUUCAAGGCUUUUUUGAAAAGAGGAGAUGAAACAGGCCAGACUGAGCAGAUGGGCUUAAAUGUGAAGAAGUGAGGCCCAUGUGGCUUUUGUUUAGGUUGAAUUCCCUGCAGGUUGUCCACCAUCUAUGAAAUCCAUGUUUAAUGGCCUCAAUUAUGGACUAUUAAAUUCCAGACUUGAGGUUAGUGGGGAUUGAAGAAAUUUGGAACUGGAACAAUCUGUACCACUGAGUAACUCAAAGUGAAAGAACCUUUUAGAAGGAUGGGCCUAUAAGAAAUGUUUCUGAAAAGACUGAAGAGAAAGAAUCCAGACCACAACCACUGAUUUCCCAGUAAAUUUUGAAAUGUCAAAAGCAUGUUUUCUUCUACUUUUCUUCAUUUCCUUUUUCCAAUUUAAAAUGUCUAUAACAAAGCUGCUACUGAUUGGAGGAGCUGGUCACCCAUUUUGGCCCUCCCCUCUGCUGGAGGGCCUAAUAAACUUUUCUCUAAAACGAC